rnacentral:rRNA from 1 species
UGCAGUCGAACGAUGAAGCUGGAGCUUGCUCCGGUGGAUUAGUGGCGAACGGGUGAGUAACACGUGAGUAACCUGCCCUUGACUCUGGGAUAAGCACUGGAAACGGUGUCUAAUACCGGAUACGAACUUCAGUCGCAUGGCUAGGAGUUGGAAAGAAUUUCGGUCAAGGAUGGACUCGCGGCCUAUCAGCUAGUUGGUGAGGUAAUGGCCCACCAAGGCGACGACGGGUAGCCGGCCUGAGAGGGUGACCGGCCACACUGGGACUGAGACACGGCCCAGACUCCUACGGGAGGCAGCAGUGGGGAAUAUUGCACAAUGGGCGCAAGCCUGAUGCAGCAACGCCGCGUGAGGGACGACGGCCUUCGGGUUGUAAACCUCUUUUAGUAGGGAAGAAGCGAAAGUGACGGUACCUGCAGAAAAAGCACCGGCUAACUACGUGCCAGCAGCCGCGGUAAUACGUAGGGUGCAAGCGUUAUCCGGAAUUAUUGGGCGUAAAGAGCUCGUAGGCGGUCUGUCGCGUCUGCUGUGAAAACUGGGGGCUCAACCCCCAGCCUGCAGUGGGUACGGGCAGACUAGAGUGCGGUAGGGGAGAUUGGAACUCCUGGUGUAGCGGUGGAAUGCGCAGAUAUCAGGAAGAACACCGAUGGCGAAGGCAGAUCUCUGGGCCGUAACUGACGCUGAGGAGCGAAAGCAUGGGGAGCGAACAGGAUUAGAUACCCUGGUAGUCCAUGCCGUAAACGUUGGGAACUAGAUGUAGGGUCCAUUCCACGGAUUCUGUGUCGCAGCUAACGCAUUAAGUUCCCCGCCUGGGGAGUACGGCCGCAAGGCUAAAACUCAAAGGAAUUGACGGGGGCCCGCACAAGCGGCGGAGCAUGCGGAUUAAUUCGAUGCAACGCGAAGAACCUUACCAAGGCUUGACAUAUAGAGGAAAAGGCUGGAAACAGUCUCCCCGCAAGGUCUCUAUACAGGUGGGUGCAUGGGUUGUCGUCAGCUCCGUGUCGUGGAGAUGUUUGGGUUAAG